AGACGUGGAAGUCCACUGCGGUUACUUCAUGUGCUUAAUGAUUUUGUUUCCAAACGACAGGCCUAUUGUUGUCAGAGUUUUUGAAAUCGAUGCUUCACUUUAUUAUUUACUUUAUUGUUUAACGUUUUUCAUUUUUCGCCGAUGAGUUGAUACCCUUAGUUGAAAGGAAACUUAGCUUGUAGCCUACUUAAAACUAACUUCAUUUUAGGCUAGUAUGGGAUAUGCUUGUCAUUAUCCCUAGGGUGUUGUGUCACCGUUACAUAGCCGGUAUAACGUUAUGUCGUUCUGAUAAUACUGCCAUUUCGUUGAGUUGCGAAUGCUGGAUCUAGAGGGUAAAUUGAAGAAAAAUAACAUAAGUAACAAACACGCACACACACACACACACACCAUCGCACAGAAAAUANNNNNNNNNNCACACACUCACACUGACACACACACACACACACUCUCAUACUGUGUUGCCUCCCCAGGACGUUCGAUGAUGACUAUGAGGAGGCGGAGCUUCCUGUUCAAGGAGAGAUGGUUGGGAAUAAGAUGGAUAAGCUGCUCAUAUCAGAUCUGUCAGCAUGAAAUUCCCAAAGCCUGGAAUACCGCUCCCUUCUCCUUGGAUAUACAGGAGACGGGGAGAGAGGAAGAGGGAUGGACGGGAGAAAUGAAGAACAAGCUAAAGUGAUGGAGGACUCCAAACUCUCUCAGCUUCUCCUUUCAUACACAGACAGGGACAGAAGAGAUGGUGAGAAGACAGAGAGGAUGGACAGAACGAGAGAGAGGAUGGACAGAACGAGAGAGAGGAUGGACAGAACGAGAGAGAGGAUGGACAGAACGAGAGAGAGGAUGGACAGAACGAGAGAGAGGAUGGACAGAACGAGAGAGAGGAUGGACAGAACGAGAGAGAGGAUGGACAGAACGAGAGAGAGGAUGGACAGAACGAGAGAGAGGAUGGCCAGAACGAGAGAGCACUCUGGCAGCUGUCCUCUCAGCCCUCUGUAGGCCAGACCAGCCUGUAUGUCUACUCUGUCAUUUAUGUAGUAAUGUAGAAUUGAACUCUCUCUCUCUCUCCUCUCUCUCUCUCUCUCUCUUUCCUCCCUUCAAUCUCUCGCUCUCUCUUGCUUGGUUUCUCUCUCUCACUCUCUCUAAAGGUAGGCCAGGCCAGUGUGUGUAUCCAUGAAUGUACGUCACUAUGAUGAUGACCGACCAGCUUAUGGACUUAGCUCCGCCUCCGCGGCUGAACGGGGAACUGCCGCUGAUGCAACACAUGGUUAAUGGAGACGCAGCGCAACAGGUUGGUAACACAAACACACACGCACAUUGUACAAAUGCCAAACGCAGAGGUGUCCCCCUCAAGCCCUUCCCUGAGGGAAAUCCUUAAGGAGCGUUUUCAUUGUAACACCCAAUAAAGAAGGUUCCUACUAGAGUUCAUAGAUGACUGUCAGACAGGCUGGUCAGAUCUGCAGAUCUGCAGAAGACCCAGACACAGAGACGGGCUGUGUGUGUGUGUGUGUGUGUGUGUGUGUGUGUGUGUGUGUUGUCUACCUGUAGAGGAAAAAGCCCUGAGAUAACAAUUGAAGACAUAACACGUGAACAUACUGUUUGUUCGUGGAUGGAGUGCUGUAUCACUACAUCGUGUCUCUAUGUGAUGAGGCUCUCCUCUGUAAACCUGGGCCGCCCGCUAGUACGCGCCAUGGUUCCCAUAGCAACAGCAGCAGCAGACAAUGCAGGAAGUGUGUGUGUCCGUUUGCGUGUGAGGGGAAAGGGAGAGAGCAGCUUAACGUCACUAUGGGAAGACGCAGAUUGAACAGGAGGGGAUAUGAACGGGCUGGGAAGAAGACACACCUGUAGCACGUGUAGUGUGUGUUUGCGUGGUUUGUGUGUCUGUGUGGUGGGUUUGUGUGUGUGUGUGUGGUGUGUAUGAAUGUGCCAUGGCAGGACAUGUGUUCCAUGUCUACAGCCACAGUCUCAGCAACCUCCACAUGGACACCAUGACGGUAAGAUGCUUCACACUCAAACAGCCCCCAAAAAUAUGCAGUGGUCUUCAGUGNNNNNNNNNNCUGUUGCAGUGUGGGUAAUGCAGUUUAAAAUAUUUCCUGUGCAGAGCGCCUGUUGCAGUGUGGGUAAUGCAGUUUAAAAUAUUUCCUGUGCAGAGCGCCUGUUGCAGUGUGGGUAAUGCAGUUUAAAAUAUUUCCUGUGCAGAGCGCCUGUUGCAGUGUGGGUAAUGCAGUUUAAAAUAUUUCCUGUGCAGAGCGCCUGUUGCAGUGUGGGUAAUGCAGUUUAAAAUAUUUCCUGUGCAGAGCGCCUGUUGCAGUGUGUUUAUAGUUUAAUGUAUUUCCUGAGCUGGCUGUUGUGGCCCCUUCCACUUGCCCCAUUGAUGUGGUCUCUUCUCCAGUUGUUAGUGUGUGCCAUCUGCUCAAAGUCAGAAACUCUUUGAUUCUCUCUCACCGACAUGUGAGACCUUUCCCAUAUCUCUCUUUCUCUUUCUAUCUUUUCUAUCUUCUCUAUCUUUCUCUAAGCCAGUUGUAUGUAACAUAUAGUAUGUUGUACUGUAUUUACCCUGUGUGCAAAACUAGUUGCAGUCAAUGAGUCAGGUUGUAUUCUGGUUGCAGAAGGACAUUUUGUCCACAUCUUUUUAGCAACCAGAAAAAUACAUCUUUAUGUGAUUUAAAUGACCAGAUAUAUGUUAAAGAUGACAUCAUAGUCAUGAUGUUGUCAUGUUGUCUUUACCUGGUUUAGUUGUAAUCUGGUUCAAUGUCAACUUCUCAUCUAGGAAACACAUUUACACCCAGGGAGCUUGGGUGGGCUUAGUGUUGGGUGGGCUCAGUGUUGGGUGGGCUCAGUGUUGGGUGGGCUCAGUGUUGGGUGGGCUCAGCGUUGGGUGGGCUCAGCGNNNNNNNNNNUCGAUGGCUUGUGUUGUACUUUAAACAUACUGGAAUAUAACAAGCUAUCAUAGACCAGGGGGAUUCCUGUAACUCCAAGGGUGUGUCUCACUCUGAUGACAUCACAACAGAGUGAGAUGUAAACCCCCCCUCCCUGAAUAGGGCCUUUGUCUUUCUCUCUCUUUCUCUUCUUUCCCCCACCCCCCACCUCUCUCUCUCUCUGAUGAAGGGUCUCUUUCAGACAGUACAGUCUUGGCUCAGACAGCCCCGCUCCCCUACCCCCUCUAUGUUAUUCUAGCUAAUUACCCCAAUCCUCAUCCUCCACCCAGUGUGUAAUUCAAUUAGGUCUCAGAGCUUUUGUCAGAUGCCAAAGAGACAGACAGACAGGCAGGCAGGGAGAAGAUGUGGUUGUACUGCCAGAGUCUCUGAGUGGGUAGGAUAGGUUUCCAGCCCAGUGUCAGGUACAGGUUGGGCCAGACAGCGUAUGGGUUAAGGCACCUGCAGACCAGGUUCUGUUUGCUCCUAGCAGAACUUGGCGAGGCGAAAGCCAACGUCUGUGGUCUCAUACUCCAUUAAUAACCUUAUACUGCAGUGGGCUGAAUCAGGGUCACACAGAGUGUUUCUUGGUAGUCUUAAACAAAUCUACUUUGAAACAAGUAUUCACCUUCACACACAUGGUUGUGGGCUUAAAAAGAAGAAGACACCUGCACCCUGUCAGAUAUAGAGUUGAAAUGUAUUACAUUUUGAGUUUGCAUCCCAAUUGUAUCCUUUAUAUACAUGACAGAAGACGGAAAUAUACUACAUGACCAAAAGUAUGUGGACACCUGCUGGUCAAACAUCUCAUUCCAAAAUCAUGGGCAUUAAUAUGGAGUUGGCCCCCCCUUUGCUGCUAUAACAGCCUCCAUUCAUCUGGGAAGACUUUCCACUAGAUGUUGGAACAUUGCUGCGGGGACUUCCAUUCAGCCACAAGAGCAUUAGUGGUAUCGGGUACCGAUGUUGGGCGAUUAGGCCUGGCUUGCAGUCGGCAUUCCAGUUCAUCCCUAAAGUGAGGUCAGGGCUCUGUGUACGCCUGUCAAGUUCUUCCACAACUACCGAUCUCAACAAACCAUUUCUGUAUGGACCUCGCUUUGUGCACAGGGACAUUGUCAUGCUGAAACAGAAAAAAGACCUUCCCCAAACUGUUGCCACAAAGUUAGAAGCACAGAAUAGUCUAGAAUGUCAUUGUAUGUUGUUGGCAUUACUUUGGGCAGUUAGCAUUCUGCUGGCAUCUGCCAAACCCAGAUUUGUCCGUUGGACUGCCAGGUGGUGAAGCGUGAUUCAUCACUCCAGAGAAUGCGUUUCCACUGCUCCAGAGUCCAAUGGCGGCGAGCUUUACACCACUCCAGCCGAGCAACCAAGGACGGAUGAUUUUUACACGCUACGCACUUCAGCACUCAGCGGUCCCGUUCUGUGAGCUUGUGGGGCCUACCGCUGUUGCUCCUAGACGUUUCCACUUUACAAUAACAGCACUUCAGAGUUGACCGGGGCAGCUCUAGCAGGGUAGAAAUUUGACGAACUGACUUGUUGGAAAGGUGGCAUCCUAUAACGGUGCCACGUUGAAAGUCACUGAGCUCUUCAGUAAGACCAUUCUACUGCUAAUGUUUGUCUAUGGCGAUUGCAUGGCUGUGUGCUCAAUUUUAUACACCUGUCAGCAACGGGUUGUGCCGGAAACAGCCAAAUCCACUCAUUUGAAGGGUUGUCCACAUACUUUUGUAUAUACAGUAUAGUGUAUAACAAAACCAUUUGACAUAGCGACACAUAUUUAUAUAUAUUUUUAAAAAUAUAAUUUUGAUUAAUUGUGAAAUGAUGAAAAAUAUGAAUAACAUUCCACCCAUGAGGCCACUAGGUGGUGAUUUGGUCAUAAAAUACAUUUGCUUGAAAAACUUGAAAAAAUGUGUCAAUGCUGUUGUUUGUCCCUCUCGAGACACUGUUGCAACAACGUAGCCAGUAACACUUCCUCAAAAUAGUCAGAAUUAAU
rnacentral:lncRNA from 13 species